GUAGGUGGCAAGCGUUGUCCGGAAUUAUUGGGCGUAAAGCGCGCGCAGGCGGUUCUUUAAGUCUGAUGUGAAAGCCCACGGCUCAACCGUGGAGGGUCAUUGGAAACUGGAGAACUUGAGUACAGAAGAGGAAAGCGGAAUUCCACGUGUAGCGGUGAAAUGCGUAGAGAUGUGGAGGAACACCAGUGGCGAAGGCGGCCUUCUGGUCUGUAACUGACGCUGAGGCGCGAAAGCGUGGGGAGCAAACAGGGAUUAGAUACCCUGGUAGUCCACGCCGUAAACGAUGAGUGCUAAGUGUUAGGGGGUUUCCCGCCCCCUUAGUGCUGCAGCUAACGCAUUAAGCACUCCGCCUGGGGAGUACGGCCGCAAGGCUG
rnacentral:rRNA from 1 species